rnacentral:rRNA from 1 species
UACGAAGGGGGCUAGCGUUGCUCGGAAUCACUGGGCGUAAAGGGUGCGUAGGCGGGUCUUUAAGUCAGGGGUGAAAUCCUGGAGCUCAACUCCAGAACUGCCUUUGAUACUGGCGAUCUCGAGUUCGGGAGAGGUGAGUGGAACUGCGAGUGUAGAGGUGAAAUUCGUAGAUAUUCGCAAGAACACCAGUGGCGAAGGCGGCUCACUGGCCCGAUACUGACGCUGAGGCACGAAAGCGUGGGGAGCAAACAGG